rnacentral:lncRNA from 1 species
GAAUCCACCGAUAAUGCUGUUCUGACGUAGUAUAAUGAUUCCCAAUUAACAUUUUUGCUGCCACCAACCAUGGCAUGCAUGAAGGCUAAGAGGAGGACCACCUUAAAAAAUGUCUCACUAUGAAUUCUGCUUUAUUUUUUUCUUUUCAUAUAAUUUAAUUCAAUGAAACUAGAGAAAGAGAAAAAGUAUGAAUCUCUAACUUUUUAAGAUUACUGGCUUAACGAAU